rnacentral:rRNA from 1 species
GGGACUGAAAAUAAGUAGGGAAGCACGUGAGCUGACUGUCAAGAAAAGCCGCUAUUGUUUGCAGGAUACCCGUACCGUAAACCGACACAGGUGGAUGAGGAGAGAAUCCUAAGGCCGACGGGAGAAGCAUUGUUAAGGAACUCGGCAAAAUGACUCCGUAACUUCGGGAGAAGGAGUGCCAGUAAGAUGGCCGCAGAGAAUUGGCCCAAGCAACUGUUUAGCAAAAACACAGGUCUAUGCAAAACCGAAAGGUGAGGUAUAUGGGCUGACGCCUGCCCGGUGCUGGAAGGUUAAGGGGAGAGGUUAGCGCAAGCGAAGCUUUGAACUUAAGCCCCAGUAAACGGCGGCCGUAACAAUAACGGUCCUAAGGUAGCGAAAUUCCUUGUCGGGUAAGUUCCGACCCGCACGAAAGGCGUAAUGAUUUGGGCACUGUCUCAACAAUGCACCCGGUGAAAUUGAAAUACCAGUGAAGAUGCUGGUUACCUGCGCCAGGACGGAAAGACCCCAUGGAGCUUUACUCCAGCUUGAUACUGGGAUUCGGUAUUGCAUGUACAGGAUAGGUGGGAGGCUAGGAAAUGGUAACGCCAGUUGCCAUGGAGCCAAUGUUGGGAUACCACCCUUGCAGUACUGGGUUUCUAACCAGCAGCCGUGAUCCGGCUGGGGGACAAUGUCAGGUGGGGAGUUUGACUGGGGCGGUCGCCUCCGAAAGGGUAUCGGAGGCGCUCAAAGGUUCCCUCAGAAUGGUUGGAAACCAUUCGAAGAGUGCAAAGGCAGAAGGGAGCUUGACUGCGACACCGACGGGUGGAGCAGGUACGAAAGUAGGACUUAGUGAUCCGGUGGUAUAAAGUGGGAUUGCCAUCGCUCAACGGAUAAAAGCUACCCUGGGAUAACAGGCUUAUCACUCCCAAGAGUUCACAUCGACGGAGUGGUUUGGCACCUCGAUGUCGGCUCAUCGCAUCCUGGGGCUGAAGUAGGUCCCAAGGGUUGGGCUGUUCGCCCAUUAAAGCGGUACGCGAGCUGGGUUCAGAACGUCGUGAGACAGUUCGGUCCCUAUCCGGCGUGGGCGUAAGAUAUUUGAGAGGAGCUGUCCUUAGUACGAGAGGACCGGGAUGGACUGGCCGCUGGUGUAUCUGUUGUCUUACCAAAGGCAUAGCAGAGUAGCCAAGCCGGGAAGGGAUAAACGCUGAAGGCAUCUAAGCGUGAAGCCCCCCUCAAGAUGAGAUAUCUCAUAACGUCAAGUUAGUAAGACCCCUUGAAGACGACGAGGUAGAUAGGGCAGAGGUGGAAGUGUGGUAACACAUGGAGCUGACUGUUACUAAUAGGUCGAGGGCAUAAUCAA